CGAGUAUAAUGGUAAUGUUGACCCAAUUAUAAAGGCUCGUUUAACCCAUUUAAUAUUUUCGUAUACAUAUAUUAAUAUUUAGUCUAUCAAUGAAUUUUAAUUUAUUUAUUUGGACAUGCAUUUUAUUUUUUAGAGCAAUCGUGUCUUAUCUAAACAAAAACUCACCGAACAAAAAGGGGAAAAUGGUUUGAUCGAAGAAUCAAUUCCGAAAUUCUCAUAUAAUUCAGCUAUAUCGUCUCCGUUUAUACUCUGUGUUUUGCAAAUUGUGAAUUCUUUAAAGAGUUUGAAUAGAGAUCUUCGCCAAGGACUGUCAAGAAGCUAGAUCUUCGAUGGGUGAAGCUUCAUUUGCGAGUAACAUAAGAAUAUGGAGGAGGCUAUCACGUUUUGUCAUUGGAGCUAUUAAGAAAUCCUUAUGUAAAAGGAAAUCUCCAAUAAAAACAUUCGAUAAUUCCCAACCGAAUAUUUGGAGCCCAGGAUCCCCCGGAUCCGCGUGUUUAUCCGCCCCAAAAGCCAUGGAACCGACCCAAAAGCCCAAGAUCCGCGUGUUUAUGUCUUUCAAAUUAUCAGAUUUACCCUUUUACGAAUUUUAUUGUUUAUUCUUUGAAUGCAAAAAUUCUAAUGACAUUCAUCGUAAUAUUUUUACCAAAAUAAGGUUUUUUAUUAUCUAA